AGUGAACGCUGGCGGUAGGCCUAACACAUGCAAGUCGAACGGCAGCACAGUAAGAGCUUGCUCUUACGGGUGGCGAGUGGCGGACGGGUGAGGAAUACAUCGGAAUCUACUUUUUCGUGGGGGAUAACGUAGGGAAACUUACGCUAAUACCGCAUACGACCUACGGGUGAAAGCAGGGGAUCUUCGGACCUUGCGCGAUUGAAUGAGCCGAUGUCGGAUUAGCUAGUUGGCGGGGUAAAGGCCCACCAAGGCGACGAUCCGUAGCUGGUCUGAGAGGAUGAUCAGCCACACUGGAACUGAGACACGGUCCAGACUCCUACGGGAGGCAGCAGUGGGGAAUAUUGGACAAUGGGCGCAAGCCUGAUCCAGCCAUACCGCGUGGGUGAAGAGGGCCUUCGGGUUGUAAAGCCCUUUUGUUGGGAAAGAAAAGCAGCAGGUUAAUACCCCGCUGUUCUGACGGUACCCAAAGAAUAAGCACCGGCUAACUUCAUG
rnacentral:rRNA from 1 species